GAGGAGAUCACUCUCAGAUCCAGCCCCACCUCUUGUCCUGCGCGAUGUGACUUCUCAAUUACCUGAUAGGAAAAAAGAGGGAAGAUGGUAUCCAGCACUUGACUUCCAUCUAGAGCUGUGACCAUGAUGCUCUGGUCAGUGAGUCGAGGUGCCAAGAACAAUGUGAUAAAACAGUGGUAAUGAUGCAUCAGACUCCCCUCGGUGAAAAUCCAUGUACCUCCAGUGACUUCAAUGGAUCUAGGCCAACUUGCACCACGUGAGAAUCUGGCCCAACAUUGUACCCAGUUGUAGAGCAGCCCAUACAGUACAGAACGAAGGGCCCAGGAACACGAGACACAGCAUGGUGAAUGUGUUUGACUGAUGACUACGGAUCUCAAGCAAUGCACCCUGUGGGAAAAGAGCAGCAUGUGAGACCUUCUCCUCAAAGAAAAGGAUUUCAGCUCACACCACCCUUCUGCAACAACAUAUCAGUUCUGCAGUGCAAUGCAUUAAAUAGCUGCUAUGUGGUACCCAGUCACAAAGCAGCCCAUGGAACUAACUGUCUCACUACCAGCCUCUCUGGUCAUCCCUCCUUUC